rnacentral:rRNA from 1 species
UCGAGGAUCUUCGGCAAUGGGGGCAACCCUGACCGAGCGACGCCGCGUGUGCGACGAAGGCCUUCGGGUUGUAAAGCACUGUCGAGGGGGAGAAAGCCGGGAAACCGGGUGAUCUAUCCCUGGAGGAAGCUCGGGCUAAGUUCGUGCCAGCAGCCGCGGUAAGACGAACCGAGCGAACGUUGUUCGGAAUAACUGGGCUUAAAGGGCGCGUAGGCGGGCCGCCAAGUUCGAGGUGAAAUCCUCCGGCUCAACCGGAGAACUGCCUCGAAUACUGGAGGCCUCGAGGCGGGUAGGGGCACGCGGAACUGUGGGUGGAGCGGUGAAAUGCGUUGAUAUCCACAGGAACUCCGGUGGCGAAGGCGGCGUGCUGGACCCGAUCUGACGCUGAGGCGCGAAAGCCAGGGGAGCAAACGG